AUUGAACGCUGGCGGCGUGCCUAACACAUGCAAGUCGAGCGGUAACAGGUGUAGCAAUACAUGCUGACGAGCGGCGAACGGGUGAGUAAUGCUUCGGAAUCUACCUUAUGGUGGGGAAUAACUAGCCGAAAGGUUAGCUAAUACCGCAUACGUCCUCCGGGAGAAAGCAGGGGAUCGCAAGACCUUGCGCCAAAAGAGGAGCCGAAGUCGGAUUAGCUAGUUGGUAGGGUAACGGCCUACCAAGGCGACGAUCCGUAGCUGGUCUGAGAGGACGACCAGCCACACUGGGACUGAGACACGGCCCAGACUCCUACGGGAGGCAGCAGUGGGGAAUAUUGGACAAUGGGGGAAACCCUGAUCCAGCGACGCCGCGUGUGUGAAGAAGGCCUGCGGGUUGUAAAGCACUUUUAGUGGGGAUGAAAUGUGCAGGGUUAAUACCUCUGCAUUUUGACCUAACCCACAGAAAAAGCACCGGCUAACUCUGUGCCAGCCGCCGCCGUAA
rnacentral:rRNA from 1 species